UUCCUGCUCUACUAGGACACGUACUAAAAUUGGAAUGACGCAGCGUGACCCCUGCUCAAGGAUGACAUGCAAGUUUGUGAGGCAUGCUGUAUUUGC
rnacentral:snRNA from 1 species